CAGUGGCUAGUAAGCCAUUUUAAGUUUGCCUAUGAAGGUCACGUGAAAUCAAUAUAUAAAAAGUGUUAUUCAAAAAUAUAAGUGGAAGCAGCUCACAGCUCAUACUGAACCUCAACCAACAUAUAAACUAAAGAUUUCCAUCGAUCCGACACACAAAACUACACUGGCGUCGAAAUUCGAUUAAAGGUAUUCAUGCGAUCUUUUGGCACUGCAAGAUGGAAGAUUCUCAAACGUCUGUGAGGAGAGCUGUAUGCAUGCAUAAACUAGCGACAACUAGCGACAUCCAACAACGAAAAUUCAACAAGCAACAAGCGAGAAACCACAAGCACAGACAACUACGACAACAAUCGAAAAAUGGAUGAGCAGCCGAGGUAAAUAAAUCAAACUGAUUUAUAGUCAUUCGAGUAGUCCAACGUGCCCGAAACAAUGGCAGUAUUGAAAAAAGGGGUGUCGAUGUGGUGGGAAGUCCACGCGUGACAAAUCAAAUGAGAGGUGGACGAACGGCGAAGCAACGUCACUAGGGGACCCGACAUGCCAACUGCAGGAUGCACUUGGCUAAUUGGUUGGCGAAAAUAAGCACGGUGACUGAUUAUAUUGCUUUGAAGCUGGCAGCUUGAUGGUGACACAUCAACCAAAUGGUCGAGAUGAACUGGCUGACGUCGGUUGAAAAACUGACAAAUGCAUCUGAAAAGUGAGGCGCGGAGCUGAACGGAACAUAUUGAAAGUCAUUGACUCCAUACACUAGCAAUUGAUUUCUCCUGGGGCAGCUAUUAUACUUCGAUUUUUAUAAAAGUCGGUUCCGAGCAUUUAA